GGCUUCUCUGUGUAGCUUUGGAGCCUGUCCUGGCACUCACUCUGUAGACCAGGCUGGCCUCGAACUCACAGAGAUCCACCUGCCUCUGCCUCCCAAGUGCUGGGAUUAAAGGCAUGCGCCACCAAUGCCC
rnacentral:miRNA from 1 species